UUUACCACACAGCGUAUGACUUAGUCCAUAGAAAUCAGAAGAUUGCUUUGUAAUGUCCUUUACCUCUUGUAUUUGACACUCUUUAUGUCACCCAUUGAUUCUGGUUCCCAGAAGCAGUUCUGCCAUGAUACCAGAGCUGCCCAACCCUAUUUAGUAAUCCCAAUGUGAAAUUCUUUAAUAAUGAAUGAUGUCCAGUUUUUCUUAAAAAGAAAAAAGAAACUUCAUGAGCUCUAAAGCUGUGAAGUCCUAUGGCAUUAUAAACGUAGCCCUUGAACAAACAUUAAUUCAUUAAUUGGUUGGCCCUUUAAUUCAGCAUACAGUUAUCAAGCAUUCAGUUUAAGAAAUUGUGCUAAGUGAACAAACAGCAUAAUUACUAAGAAAUAAUUCCAACCUACUAUUUGGCACUGGAGUCAAACAGCAACUCCAGCAUAAAGGAAAGUCACCUCCUUUUUUUUA
rnacentral:lncRNA from 1 species